GACGAACGCUGGCGGCGUGCCUAAUACAUGCAAGUCGAACGCAGUGGGGACGGGUGAGUAACACGUGGGUAACCUCCCAUCAGAGGGGAUAACACUUGGAAACAGGUGCUAAACCGAUACAGAUGGAUGGACCAGCGGUGCAUUAGCUAGUUGGUGGGGUAACGGCUCACCAAGGCCACGAUGCAUAGCCGCCCUAGCAGGUUUAUCUGCCACCCUGGGACUGCGACACGGCCCGGACUCAUACGGGAGGCAGCAGUAGGGAGUCUUCGGCAAUGGACGAAAGUCUGACCGAGCAACGCCGCGUGAGUGAAGAAGGUUUUCGGAUUGUAAAACUCUGUUGUUAGAGAAGCGGUAUCUAACCAGAAAGCCACGGCUAACUACGUGCCAGCAGCCGCGGUAAUUC
rnacentral:rRNA from 1 species